GAUGAACGCUGGCGGCGUGCCUAAUACAUGCAAGUCGAGCGAAUGGAUUAAGAGCUUGCUCUUAUGAAGUUAGCGGCGGACGGGUGAGUAACACGUGGGUAACCUGCCCAUAAGACUGGGAUAACUCCGGGAAACCGGGGCUAAUACCGGAUAACAUUUUGAACCGCAUGGUUCGAAAUUGAAAGGCGGCUUCGGCUGUCACUUAUGGAUGGACCCGCGUCGCAUUAGCUAGUUGGUGAGGUGACGGCUCACCCAGGCAACGAUGCGUAGCCGAUCUGGGAGGGUGAUCGGCCACACUGGGACUGCGACACGGCCCCGACUCCUACGGGAGGCAGCAGUAGGGAAUCUUCCGCAAUGGACGAAAGUCUGACGGAGCAACGCCGCGUGAGGGAUGAAGGCUUUCGGGUCGUAAAACUCUGUCGUUAGGGAAGAACAAGUGCUAGUUGAAUAAGCUGGCUCCUUGACGGUACCUAACCAGAAAGCCACGGCUAACUACGUGCCAGCCGCCGCGGUAA
rnacentral:rRNA from 1 species